rnacentral:lncRNA from 1 species
UAAAGCGCAUUCUUCUUGACCCAAUUUACCCACUAACCCAAUCCAUAACCUUUUAAUCCUGGCCCCCCGUUUGAAUUUAAUCCGAUGGCCAAUAUUAAUUUCCAAAAAAAAAGAAGAAAAAAUAAAAAACCAAAUAAAAAAAAGGAGGAGCUUGAUCUUCUUCAUGGAGAAGAGACAAAAAAAACCCUAAGAACCCUAGCUUCAUAUUUUUCUCCAAGACCAUAGGAGCAGCCAUUUUCAACCUUGAAACACAUAACACAAAAAUCCUACACCACCCAAAAACCAUAGCAGCCGCCAGCCCCACCCCUUCUGGUUCUUCACACCGAGAACCAACAACCGCCGCCGCCGGCCUUAUCCACCGAAAACCAACCGCCCAUUCCUCAUAACCCCGUUUCCCAUUGUUAAACAACGAGCAGAGCUGCUGCUGCUUCACCUCUCACUCAGGACCAACCCUAGCAAGCCACCAGCCGUCGGAAAUCCACCCCCGCCAUUAACUCCUCAGGCAGCCAGCGUCGUUCACUUCCAACACAUCCAGUAGUUGGACGUAUGAGAAACAGCAACAACGAGCUCGUCAAAAAACACACCCACACCCCAAACAACCACCCCGUCGCACACGCACGAAAGCACAUGGAGAUACACAACAAUUUUAAUUCGUUGCGAUGAUUUCAAUUUUCAGACUUGCUAUGGAGUUCUAUAAAAUUUCAAAGUGUUGUUUCUUCUGAUUCCAUUGGAAAUUGAUUCGAUUCGGGUCAUGGAGUUUUGUUCGAGUUUUAUUGAUGAUUCGUUGGUCCGAUGGUGAUUGUUUGAAGUGGGAGUUUUUCUGUCGAGGUCUUGUUCACAUCCUAAUUCCAUUUUUUAGGUUCCCGGCCAACGUCCCAUUUAAUCCAUUUUUUUAAGGAAUUUUCAGCAAUUUCAAAGGUUCAUUUCUCUUUCACUUAAGCUCUCGAUCUUUAUUUUUCAUAUGGUUUUGUGUUAGAUUAUGAUUGAGUUUUGAUUACUAUUUGUGUGAUUAUGUGAUUUUGUUUAAACGAGUUGAUGAUUUCUUUGAUGUUGUAUUAGUUUGGACUUAAAUUGAAUUGCACGUUUCGG